rnacentral:rRNA from 1 species
GUCCACGCCGUAAACGAUGGGCACUAGGUGUUCGGGUAUUGACCCCGAGUGCCGCAGCUAACGCAUUAAGUGCCCGCCUGGGGACUACGGCCGCAAGGUUAAACUCAAAGGAAUUGACGGGCCCGCACAAGCGGUGGAGCAUGUGGUUCAAUUCGACGCAACGCGAAGAACCUUACCUGGGCUAGACAACGUCGGACAACCCUGGAAACAGGGCCUUCCCGCAAGGGACCGGCGGUUCAGGUGCUGCAUGGCUGUCGU